rnacentral:rRNA from 1 species
GACAGAGGAUGCAAGCGUUAUCCGGAAUGAUUGGGCGUAAAGCGUCUGUAGGUGGCUUUUAAGUCCGCCGUCAAAUCCCAGGGCUCAACCCUGGACAGGCGGUGGAAACUACCAAGCUGGAGUACGGUAGGGGCAGAGGGAAUUUCCGGUGGAGCGGUGAAAUGCGUAGAUAUCGAGAGGAACACCUGCGGCGAAGGCGGGUUGCUGGGCUGACACUGACGCUGAACUGCGAAAGCUAGGGGAGCGAACGGG